rnacentral:lncRNA from 1 species
GAACAGUAGAAAACCCCAGGCAGAGCUGAAGACAGUGACAGAAGGGAUUAUUGCUUCUGAAGAAGAAAAAAAAUGAUUACAAACUGUCCUCACACUGUCACCCAGGCUGGAGUGCACUGGCGCGAUCUCGGCUCACUGCAACCUCUGCCUCCUGGGUUCAAGCGAUUCUCCUGCCUUAGCCGUGAUGUUCAGUUUCUAAUACUGU